rnacentral:rRNA from 1 species
GAUGAACGCUGGCGGCGUGCCUAAUACAUGCAAGUAGAACGCUGAAGCUUGGUGCUUGCACCGAGCGGAUGAGUUGCGAACGGGUGAGUAACGCGUAGGUAACCUGCCUCUUAGCGGGGGAUAAUUAUUGGAAACGAUAGCUAAUACCGCAUAAAAGACGAUAUCGCAUGAUAUUGAUUUGAAAGGUGCAAAUGCAUCACUAAGAGAUGGACCUGCGUUGUAUUAGCUAGUUGGUGAGGUAACGGCUCACCAAGGCAACGAUACAUAGCCGACCUGAGAGGGUGAUCGGCCACACUGGGACUGAGACACGGCCCAGACUCCUACGGGAGGCAGCAGUAGGGAAUCUUCGGCAAUGGGGGCAACCCUGACCGAGCAACGCCGCGUGAGUGAAGAAGGUUUUCGGAUCGUAAAGCUCUGUUGUAAGAGAAGAACGGGUGUGAGAGUGGAAAGUUCACACUGUGACGGUAACUUACCAGAAAGGGACGGCUAACUACGUGCCAGCAGCCGCGGUAAUACGUAGGUCCCGAGCGUUAUCCGGAUUUAUUGGGCGUAAAGCGAGCGCAGGCGGUUAGAUAAGUCUGAAGUUAAAGGCUGUGGCUUAACCAUAGUACGCUUUGGAAACUGUUUAACUUGAGUGCAGAAGGGGAGAGUGGAAUUCCAUGUGUAGCGGUGAAAUGCGUAGAUAUAUGGAGGAACACCGGUGGCGAAAGCGGCUCUCUGGUCUGUAACUGACGCUGAGGCUCGAAAGCGUGGGGAGCAAACAGG